rnacentral:snRNA from 1 species
UCCGAAGAUUGGUGAGAA